GUGGGAGGAGACUCGUGGGGGGCGGGGGCGAAAUCUGUGGGAACUUUCAGGAUGUGUGUCCGGCCUCCGUCUCUUGACCCUGGGGCCUCACGAGGUUCCGGCUUUGCCCUUCCACAGGGCAGAUACUAUCCUCCGCCCACAAGGUGAGGUGCAGAGAAGUCCAGACACUUGCCCGAAGUCACACAGCUGGCAAGUAUCGAGGGUGGGAUUCAGCCCAGAGCUUGGCAGGAAUGAACUGGCAUGUAAAGUACUGAGAACGGGGUUGUCUCUGAGCCUGAACCACAUUUAUGAACCAAGAAGCGGAGGCUGUUACUCUUCUUCCAGCCCCAGAAAACCCCACCUGGCUGGAGUCGGGCCCCUGUGGGCUGGGUGUUGGCUUCCUUGCAUCAGGCUGCAGGCUGUGGGCCAGUCGGGAUGAAAGCGGGGCCCAGAAUUCAUCGAGGGGCUGCCUCAUUGUACUUGCCGUCCCACCCACGGCCUUCACCAUAGAUUCUGCUGCUCUCAUGAACCUGUUAGCAAGUAGGAGACCAUAGAACAGUGGCUCUCGGGACUGUGGGCCAAUCCCGGGCCCUCUAUACCUGCUCCUGGGAAUAAAUCUAGGACCCCUUGUCAUUGCCCCCUGGAAGGCAAAUAUAGCCUUUCAACCUGCAGUUCUGGGUUCCUGUGCUAUGCCUGGCUGAGAAGGGGCUGGCAUGCAGGCUCUGGUGCCAGGCUGUCCUCUGGACCCCAACUCAGGACGCUGUCACCCUGGGACACCACAGCACCCUCAGAGCCUUGGAUUAGAAAGAAAGCUCUUGCCCUGGUUCUCUGUUCUCUCUGCCCUCUUAACCCAGUCUUCCUCCUUCUUGCCAUUCAGGUCUCAGCUUACAUGUCACCUCCUCAGGGAGGCCCUCCCUGACCACUCAGUCUAAAGCAGGGGUCAGUAAACUUUUCCUGUAUAGAGCCACACAGUAAAUAUUUUAGGCUUUGUAGGCAUUCUGAUCUGUGGCAACCACUCAACUGUGCCAUUGCAGUGGGAAAGGAGCCAUGGAUGAUUUAAAUAGGCAUGGAUGUGUUCCAGUAAAACUCUGUGGAUAUUGAAGUUUGAAUUUCUUAUGAUUUUCACAUGUCAUGAAAUGUUCUUUUUAUUUAUUUUUUCAACCGUUUAAAAAUGUGGAAACCUCCUGGGUCAUAUGAAAACAGGUGGCAGUCUGGAUCUGGCCCACUGUGGGCUGCCGACCCCUGGUCUAGUAUUUUAUUUUUAUUUUAUUUUUUAUUUUUGUCUUUUUGCUAUU